rnacentral:lncRNA from 1 species
AAAAGGUAGAUGCAACGUGUGUUCGUUUUGUUAAUAUUACAAAUAUAUGUGAUAUAAAAUUAGUGACUUCGUUUGACAACCUGUUUUAUGUUGUAAGUAGGGAUGAUACUGCCCGUAGUAUUGAUGGAACUGCUCGUAGUAUUGAUGGUACUACUCGCAGUAUUGAUGGAACUGCUCGUAGUAUUGAUGGUACUACUCGUAGUGUUGAUGGUACUGUAUAUACUAAUGACAUUAGAUGCCAUAGGAACUGUAGCAAUAACAUCAAUGACAUCACUAAAACGUAUACGUUUUAUUUAUGCUCGUUUAAUGCGUUGAAUAACUAUACAAGAAAAAUGGAUUACCUUUAUUAUAAUAUAUUAUUUGAAAGUACAUGGUAUUAUGAAUUUGUUUAUUACAACGAUAGACCAUUUAUUUUUCUGGAUAGUGAUAAAAAUAAUAUAUUAGGAACUGACGAAAAACAUAAACAAAUAAAUAAAUGUAUAACUCUUUUAAAUUCUAAUACUUUUAUUAUAUAUUCUUAUAAUAGAAUAUUAAGCAAUAACAAUUUGACUUUUUCAAUAAAACAUACAAAUAAUAUGAUAACAGAAAAAAUACAUGAACAUGAUAAUAUUUCUCCUAACAGUGGUAUAAUUCAACAAACAAAAAGUGACCCAUUACAUACGCAUAAUGAAGAAACAGAAAACACUAUUCAAAAAAAUGGUAAAUUAAAAGAAGACAUAUGUACUCAGAUUAUUAGUACGGAUUAUACAGCUUGUAGGCGUACUGAUACAGACGUAGAUGUUAACUUAAAUGGUAAGCACAGGGAUGUGAAACGGGGGGAGCAACCGGACAAACAACCGAGCAUACAACCGGACAAACAACCGAGCAUACAACCGGGCAAACAGUGGAGUACACAACCGGACAAACAGCGGAGUACACAACCGGACAAACGGCGGAGUACACAACCGGACAAACAGCGGAGUACACAACCGGACAAACAGCGGAGUACACAACCGGACAAACAGCGGAGUACACAACCGGACAAACAGCGGAGUACACAACCGAGUGAGCACAAAAAAAAUAAAAAUGUUAUAGAUAAAGGUCUGACCAAAGAGAUAAAAGUAAAAUGUGUUAAAAAUAGUUAUACAAAUAAAAAAUUAAACAUACAUAAUAAAAUAAUAACGGGAAAUGAAAAAAACAGAAUAGUCAAACAACGCAAUACUAUAAAUAUAAAAGAAAUACCUUACACAAAAUUAAAACUGAUUGAAAAAAAGAAAAAAGCACUAAACUGUAUAAAACAUAAUGAAGAUAUAGUUGAC